GGGGAAUUUUCCGCAAUGGGCGAAAGCCUGACGGAGCAAUACCGCGUGAGGGAUGAAGGCCUAUGGGUUGUAAACCUCUUUUUUCAGGGAGGAAUCAAUGACGUGUACUUGAAGAAUAAGCAUCGGCUAACUCCGUGCCAGCAGCCGCGGUAAGACGGAGGAUGCAAGUGUUAUCCGGAAUCACUGGGCGUAAAGCGUCUGUAGGUGGUCAAAUAAGUCAACUGUUAAAUCUUGAGGCUCAACCUCAAAAUCGCAGUCGAAACUAUUAGACUAGAGUAUAGUAGGGGUAAAGGGAAUUUCCAGUGGAGCGGUGAAAUGCGUAGAUAUUGGAAGGAACACCGAUGGCGAAGGCACUUUACUGGGCUAUUACUAACACUCAGAGACGAAGCUAGGGUAGCAAAUGGGAUUAGAUACCCCAGUAGUC
rnacentral:rRNA from 1 species